rnacentral:lncRNA from 10 species
UGAACUAAAGCUGACAAAACUGUUGCAUCAGAGAAUCACCAAAAAGCAUGGCUGAAACUGUUACACACAUAAACCACAAUCUUAAUCAUCUCAUCCUGUUUCUGCAACCAAGGAAGUCAUCAUUCAUUGUGACAUCAUGUUCGGGGACCAGGCAAAUAGAGGUGAGGUCACAACAUAGGAAAGUUGCUUGGUGUAUAAUUAGUGUGGGGAGCACAGGGGGGUGGAUUACAAUGCACAGACAAAUUCUAAUCCAUAGCCUGUAAUUUGAGGGUUGGGUCAAUCAUAAUUUGGGUGCAAGCACACCUACUUCCUUUUUUAAUAAGGGAGAAUUUAGCUCUUGUUACCCACAAGAGUUCUCAAAGUAGAAAAUAAUAAACCAUGUUCUUGAAGCCAGUACUGAAUUAUCAAAGCUGAAGGAAGGGAAGCUAAAGAAAGAUUAGGCAACUUGGGGUACAAAUGCGUUCAAAAUCCUCUCCGUCAGUAUGCCAAGUCUCUGGAUACCAGUGACUUAUUUGCCCUGGGGUGAGAGAAAACUCCAUUUUCCAUCAAGCUGGAGAAGCAGCCUUUGUUUUUCAGCCAUGGAUAAGGCCACUUAUUAGGAGGACAACAAGAAGGUGGACCAGUAAGACAACAUGACACGUAAGGCAGGAGAAUCACUUGAACCUGGAAGGCGGAGAUUGCAGUGAACUGAGAUCACACCAAUGCACUCUAGCCUGGGCAACAGAGUGAGACUCUGUCUCAAAAAAGAAAAAAAACAAAGACAAUACGACAUACCUAGAUUCUAAUUCAACACAGAAAAUGCAAAACAAAUAAAUAAAUAAAUAAAAUAAACAUAAAACCAAAUUAGGUUUGUUUACUGUAGAAUCAUUUUACUAUUGAUGGGGCCGGGCGAGGGGAAGGAAUCUAGACGUUGUCACCUCCAGUUCGUCAGUGCUAGGCUUCUAAGCACUUACAAUGUCAAAAACAACAUGCUGACAAGAUAAUGUUAAAGUUAAUAUAUUUUAAUCUAUCACUUGCCUGAUACUAUUCUAAUGAGGAGCUAAACACAACAAAAUCAGAAAAACCACCUCCUUAAAAGUUCAAACAGGUUGGGCAUGACAGCUCACUCCUAUAAUCUCAACACUUUGUGAGGCCAAGGUGAGAGGACUGCUUGACGUGCCUGGGCAGCAUAGUGAGACCCUAUUUCUACAAAAACAUUUAAAAAAUUAGCCCAGCAUGGUGGAAUGUUCCUGUGGUCCCACUACUUGGGAGGCUUAGGUGGGAGGAUCACUUGAGCCCAGAGUUUGAGGCUGCAGGGAGCUAGGAUCAAGCCUUGGAGACCCUGUAUCCAAAAACAAACAAACAACCCCACUUCAAACAUCAAACAUUUUCUGCAAGGCAGUUUUCUAUUCUAUGUGUGAAACCUUUGUUACGACUCACUGAAAAUAUGCAAAACUCCAAGCUGAGCUUAGUUUUGCCUGUGCACAGAGACCUUUUUACUCUCAUUCUUCGAAAACCUCAUUUUGGAUCUCGCUGCCAACACCAGAGAGAGGAAAGCUGGCCAACAAUUCCAAAUAUAACACGCGGAGGCAAAUGCUACAGAAAUCUGUCUGACGGGAAGGGACCAUGCUGAGGUCUGCCGAGGUAGAUGCACUUCUCUAUCAGACCAUUUUGGUCCCUCAGUCUGUUUGGAGCAAAAUGCCAUAAGAAGGUAAUCACAGGAAACCAGUCAGUUUUAUCAUCCUGAUUACUGAUGCCCCAUGGUAUUCACUCUGUCAAUGACAACAAUCCUACCAAUCUCAAACAGAAAGAUGGGUCAGUGAAAAGUAAAGCUGUACUGGUUAUUCUAAUUUUUAACAGAUUUUUUGGGAUCAGUCCAGAGACCUUUCAGAAAGCUCAACUCAUGGCAUGAUAAUUAUGAUGAAGUCAGAUUCACCAAGGGACACUUAAAAACAUAUCUCCCUCCAUGGCCGGGUGUGGUGGCUCACACCUGUAAUCCCAGCUCUUUGGGAGGCCGAGGCGGGUGGAUCAUGAGGUCAGGAGUUCGAGACCAGCCUGACCAACACGGUGAAACCCUGUCUCUACUAAAAAUACAAGAAAAUUAGCCAGGCCUGGUGGCGUGCGCCUGUAAUCCCAGCUACUCAGAAGGCUGAGAAAGGAGAAUUGCUUGAGCCCGGGAGGCGUUGCAGUGAGCUGAGAUUGCGCUACUGCACUCCAGCCUCGGUGACAGAGCAAGACUCCGUCUCAGAAAAACAAAAACAAAAACACCACACACACAUCUCUUUCCAAUUCUCUAGGGACAGGUUUAGUAACCCCUACUAUCACUCUGAAUAAUUGAUAAACCAGUUAAACUUGGAUAAAAUGAUUACACUAUCACUUAAUCAAAAAGACAUCAGUUCUUCAACCUUAAUUCUUUGGUGAGGUCACGGUACUGAGCACAAGACAAUUCAUUCCAGAGAAUCAUUACAGAAAACCCAGAAAUAGGUUCCCAGUCUAACUGGGAAGAGAUGACGUGCCUCAUACAAAGCAUUGUCUCCUGAGAAAAGACAACAAUUAAAACAGCUUAUUUGACUAGUCAUUUCCUUACUAUUUAUCUUAGAAAGAUCUCCUGUGGUUUAUAGCUGUGUUACCAAGCCCGGGAGGUAAAGUUUGCCUAGAACCACUUUUGGAACACUUGUACUGGAUUCCGUUCACAGUGAGGCAGACUGGCAAGGAAUACUAGAGACUGAAAAAAGACUUAUCCCACAGAGCUUUGGAUAGAGAACCACAGCAGCACUGCAAUUAAGACCUACAGCAUUUGCAAAAUUUAAAUUUCACUUUUUCUUUAAAUUUUGUAGAGAUGGAGUCUUGCUAUGUUGCCUAGACUGGUCUUGAACUCCUGGCCUCAGGCGAUCCUCCCACCUUGGCCCCUUUAAGUGCUGGGAUUACAGGCAUGAGCCACCAUACUCGGCUUCAACCUUACUCUUGUACUUUCCGUAUGGAAGGAAAAUUAUCAUUAUCAUGCCUACCUAAAUAAUUCAGUCUUAGCCAGUUUAAAAGGGAAGCCAGAGGAAAUAUAACCUUACUCUCACAUGAUAAAAUUAAGCAGUAAUAGGACAAUUUUUUUUUUUUCUCCUGAGAUGGGGUCUUACUCUGUCACCUAGGCUGGGGUGCAGUAGUGUGAUCUCGGCUCACUACAACCUCUGCUGCCUGGGUUCAA